rnacentral:rRNA from 1 species
AUUGAACGCUAGCGGGAUGCUUAACACAUGCAAGUCGAACGAGUGGCGGACGGGUGAGUAAUAUAUCGGAACUUGCCCUGUAGCGGGGGAUAACUACUCGAAAGAGUGGCUAAUACCGCAUACUAUGGGAAGGGCAGAUAUCGGAUUAGCUAGUUGGUGGGGUAAAGGCUCACCAAGGCAACGAUCCGUAGCUGGUCUGAGAGGAUGACCAGCCACACUGGGAAUGAGACACGGCCCAGACUCCUACGGGAGGCAGCAGUGGGGAAUUUUGGACAAUGGGCGAAACCCUGAUCCAGCCAUCCGGCGUGUAUGAGAAGGCCUUCGGGUUGUAAAGUACUUUUGGCAGAGAAGCGGUACCUGCAGAAUAAGCACCGGCUAACUACGUGCCAGCAGCCGCGGUAAUAC